UACCUCGCUGAUCGGAAGGGUUUCCUUCCGAUCAACGAGGUAGAUGUACCUCGCUGAUCGGAAGGGGUUCCUUCCGAUCAACGAGGUA
rnacentral:miRNA from 1 species